rnacentral:rRNA from 1 species
AACAGCAGCACACCACCCUGCAUCCCACUGCUGGCUUGCUUCUGAAGCUAAGCAGGGUUGGUCCUGGUCAGACCCUGGAUCGGAGACCAGAUGCUGCUGGAA